AAGAGCAAAGCAUUGUAAUUCGAUAAUAAGAUUUACACCCGAGGCCGCACCAUUGCCACCAGUACCGAAUUGGUUGCAAGUGGUAAUGCGCAGCAAGAUGAAUACAAACGCCACAGCUUCGUCCUUGGAUGUGGCUCUCAAUGGGAACAAUGUAGUUACAACAUCAACAACAACAACAGCAACUGCAAAUGAAAGGAUACGCGCUUACUUUAAUGCUUUUGAACAAGCAUACACAAUGACAUAAAUAACAUUUUUAAGAUGAUAAAAAUGGGGUGGAAUAUACAGAAAUAUAUGAAACCGAAGGGAAAACGUUGUAUAAACUAUAAACAUACAUACGAGUAGAAGCCCCCCUAGUAUUUCAGAUAUAUAUAUACAUAAAUAAUAUCCAAUACUAUGAAGAUUAAUGAAGAAAACUUACAUAUGUACAUAAUUGCAAUGAGCAGGUUGCAGUUUGAAAUUGAAGCAAAAUCGGAGGAUAGCAUUUUAUCGAUUGGCGUAAGCACUUAAAAUUUAUAUAAAAUGACAUAAAACUAUAUAUCUAUAAGAUUUGUGGAAUGCACAUUUUGGCAAAAGUAUUUAAAUUUCUCAUAUGGCUAAUUUAUUGCUUUUGUAAUACUUAGGCACCUGUAGACAUACAUACAUUCCUAAGUACUAAUACUAACAUAAGAGUCCCUUCCCUACAUAAAAAUUAACUGGUAUUUAACCAUUUGCUCCCUUUAUGAGUAAGAUAACUAAGUGUUGGCGCUUACAUAUACAUACGUACUUAUUUCUACGUGCUCGGCCGAGUUUCUCCUCCAAUUUGUAUUGUGCGUCUUGAUGUUGUAGACGGGCCUAGAGUUUUACGCCGGCUAAGAACGGCAUACUGUUUUUAUGAGCAGCUUCUUUUUCAUGGCAGAAAUGCAGACGGAGGUUUGCCAUUGGCGACCAAUUUUUGUUGAUGUUAUUGGGACAUGGAAUUGAACCCUGGACCCACAGAGUGGCAGUACGUACAACUAACCACCCGGUUACGAUGGCAGCCAUUCCUUUCUAAAUACAAAUCUUCAAUGAAAGUAAUGGCUAGCUAAUCAAUGAACUAAACUACUUCAGAUAUAGUCUCAACAGCUGCAGUGUGGACCUUGCGCUUUCUACGGACUAGGCAAGGCAAAAAAAAGGCCUCACUUUAUACCUACUAAGUAUUUAAGAAAAAUUAUUCUAUCAAAAAAUAUUUAACAGUUGGUCGCAUUUUUCGUUACUACUCGAACUUCUGCCAAUAAUUUGUUUCGCAUAAUAAAUGAAACAAAAAAAUACCAACUUAAGAGAAGGCUUUUGACUGUUUACAUAUGUAUGUACCUCAAUAUGAUAAACCACCUAAGUCAAGACUUCCGUAUGAAG